rnacentral:rRNA from 1 species
UACGUAGGGUGCGAGCGUUGCCCGGAUUUAUUGGGCGUAAAGGGCGCGUAGGCGGCCACGCACGUCCGUUGUGAAAUCGCCCGGCUCAACUGGGCGGGGUCAGCGGAUACGGUGUGGCUAGAGCAAGCUAGGGGGCAAUGGAAUUCCCGGUGUAGUGGUGGAAUGCGUAGAUAUCGGGAGGAACACCAGUGGCGAAGGCGGUUGCCUGGAGCUUUGCUGACGCUGAUGCGCGAAA